GUCGAACGAGUAGUUUCUCGAUGCGCGAAGAAUGUGAGAGACCGCAGUUAAGGAGCUAAGUUGCAUUUCCUCGGUCCAUCAUGUCAUCAAUCCUCCCCUCCAUCGUAAUGUGGACUCUCGUACCGCUUCUGAUCUCCGAUCACGUCCGAUGCAAAAACAUCAAUACUUAUGCCGUACGUCCAGGGAAGUUAUGUUUCUACGUUCGGUCUCGUCAGUCUGAACGGGGCCGUUCAUCGCCUAUGUCCAUUCGGCUACGAUGUGCCCAUCAGAUAGAACCAUUUCGCAUUUCGUCCGCUUUUCCCACUUCAACCCAGUCCGACCUUUCGAUCUUCAAAAAAUGUGGGGAAAUGUGACAUUCAAUUUAAAUUUUACGGACAAUUUUUGGUCACGGAUUGAUUGGGCACUACGAGCGAACAACCAAUGGAAAGAAAACUUCUACAUCAUGGAUUUCCCUAAAACCGGAUGCAGCGCAUUGCGUGAUCACAUACCCGACCUUUUCCGGACACUAGCGAAACUCAGCGGGGCGCCGACGGACAAGAGGACAGCCUGUGUCAUUCCUGC